rnacentral:lncRNA from 1 species
UUCUAAAAGGACGAUUGCAAAAUUGAAAACUAAAGAACUAACCAAGUUUGGAGCCAGGGGUUCAUCUUAAAUUCAACGUGGAAAAUGUCGCCUGCACGGAUGGAGAAGAUAUCUGAGCUUGGUGGUUUAAGUUGGCGAAUGAAGAAUCCAAAGGAGAAGGAUGAAGAUUAUACAUUGAGUUUGAAUUGCAAGAUUGAAUAGUUUGUGGGAUGGUUAGGAUAUAUGCACUAAAAGGUAUGGAGCUAGAGAGACCACCUUGGAUGCAAGGAGUUGAAUUCUGAUGAAUAUGUUUACAUAAAAAUUUUUGUGCCUUAAAAAAACCCAUCUCUCAUCUACCACAGUUGCUAAGAUUUCAUGAUCAUUAUUUUUAAUGUUAGCAUGUCACCAUAUCACACGUGGUAAGUUCAGCAUACUUUUAUGUGAAUACAUCACUUUAAUUUGAAUGAUGAAACAGUCUCUCAUCAAUUUUGUGACUCCUUCUGACACCCUAGGGAGGAAAGCAAGCUUCUUGAAUGAUUAAAUUUGCACAGUGUGGUGACCUCUGAAAGAAAGACACGUUCCCUUUAAGACUACUUCACAGAACAAAGCAGAGUCGAAGUCACUAUUAAGCAGCCUCACAACUGUAGUCACUCUUCUACAGUUCACGGAUUCUGGCUGUGAUGUCAUUGACAAAAGAAGAAAAUGCAAAGCAGGUGGUCUUGAAUCAGCUUCCUGGUGAGCAUCAUACUUACAGCUGAGGCCUG